rnacentral:rRNA from 1 species
AUUGAACGCUGGCGGCAUGCUUUACACAUGCAAGUCGAACGGUAACAGGCCGCAAGGUGCUAACGAGUGGCGAACGGGUGAGUAAUGCAUCGGAACGUGCCCAGUCGUGGGGGAUAACGCAGCGAAAGCUGUGCUAAUACCGCAUACGAUCUAUGGAUGAAAGCGGGGGACCGUAAGGCCUCGCGCGAUUGGAGCGGCCGAUGUCAGAUUAGGUAGUUGGUGGGGUAAAGGCUCACCAAGCCAACGAUCUGUAGCUGGUCUGAGAGGACGACCAGCCACACCGGGACUGAGACACGGCCCAGACUCCUACGGGAGGCAGCAGUGGGGAAUUUUGGACAAUGGGCGCAAGCCUGAUCCAGCAAUGCCGCGUGCAGGAAGAAGGCCUUCGGGUUGUAAACUGCUUUUGUACGGAACGAAACGGCGAGCUCUAAUACAGUUUGCUAAUGACGGUACCGUAAGAAUAAGCACCGGCUAACUACGUGCCAGCCGCCGCGGUAA